GAGAAAAAUCUUACUUUUUACUGCAAAAUUAAAAAUGGUAAAACAGAAGAAAUAGAUAAAAAUAUUAGCCUCACCAAGGAAAAUAUUCAAAGGCAAGCUAACAUAUGAAAGAUGCUCUUGGGGCUGGUGUUGUGGCAUAGUGCUGGUAAAGCCACUGGCUGCAUUGCCAGUUUCCCAUAGGGGUACUAAUUUGAGUCCCGGCUACUCCACUUUGGGUGCAGCUCCCUGCUAAUGGCCUGCAAAAAACAAUGGAAGAUGGCCCAAGUAUUUGGGCCUCUGCCAAUCAUAUGAGAGAUACAGAUGAAGUUCCUGGCUUUGGCUUGGCUCAGCCCCGGCUAUUGUGGCCAUCUGGGGAAUGAACCAGAGGUUGGAAAGUUUCUCCCUGUCUCUCUGAAUUUGUUUCUGUAACUGACCUUCAAAUAAAUAAAUCUUACCACGUUAAAAAAAAAAUUAGGCUUUUGUAUUAACUUCUUGGAUAAUAUAAAAUUGAAAAAGAAUCAGAGAUUGCUUUGCCUUUUUUCCUUCAAGUUUUAAUUUUUUAAAAUUUUAUUUUAUUUUAUUGAAAGGCACUUUCAGCCCCAGCCAGGGGCCAUUGCUGGCAUGUGGGGAGUGAACCAGCAAUAGGAGUUCUCUCUCAUUUUUUUUUCACUUUCUCCUCUCAAAUAAAUUUAAAAAAUUAAAAGGAGUACAGCUCAGUGGACAUAACAAUGUUUCAGAGAUUUGAGAAGAAUAUAGUCUUUGGGAAGGAGCUAGAUUUCAGCCAUUAUUUAUGAGCCACUCAAUAAUGACACAGAGGAACUCCGAAUAACUUCAGUAUCCAUCAUUAUUUUCUUUGAAGGAGGUUCAUCUUCUGGGGAAACAAACUCCCUGAAAUGUGGUGCUUUCUGUUUUAUUUCACCAGAUGGGUGGAAGGGUGGUCCACAUCAACUUUGUGCAGCUUUCCAAACAAGAUCAGAGAAUGAAGGAGAUUGCUUUAUUAGCUGCUGCUUAUGGACUCAUAAAGACCACUUUGUGAGGACUAAUUUAAAAUAUCUGAAGAAUAAAAAAAGACAAGUCCCAUGGCAAUGAAAAGAAUUGUAGGUGUUUAUGAGCAGAUGAGAAGGAUAACAGAGGAAGAGAGGAUGAAGCAACACCCCAGGAUAUGAGAUAAGGGGUCUGCAAGGAUUGAAGUCACUAAGUUGCCUUGAAGAGCCCCAGAGAAUCUUUGGACUUAGGGCUAAACAUUAGUCCAAGAUGUGGAAUAGUCAGCUUGUAGGAGUUCUACAAAGAUGAAACACUUGUCAUACAAGAAGGGAAUUUUUAAAUAAAUAGUUUGCCCAGAGCUAAAGGGAGAUCUUC
rnacentral:lncRNA from 1 species